rnacentral:rRNA from 1 species
CCUACGGGUGGCAGCAGUGGGGAAUAUUGGACAAUGGGGGCAACCCUGAUCCAGCCAUGCCGCGUGUGUGAAGAAGGCCCUCGGGUUGUAAAGCACUUUCAGUGAGGAAGAACGCCUGGUGGUUAAUACCCAUCAGGAAAGACAUCACUCACAGAAGAAGCACCGGCUAACUCCGUGCCAGCAGCCGCGGUAAUACGGAGGGUGCGAGCGUUAAUCGGAAUUACUGGGCGUAAAGCGCGCGUAGGUGGCUUGAUAAGCCGGUUGUGAAAGCCCCGGGCUCAACCUGGGAACGGCAUCCGGAACUGUCAAGCUAGAGUGCAGGAGAGGAAGGUAGAAUUGCCGGUGUAGCGGUGAAAUGCGUAGAGAUCGGGAGGAAUACCAGUGGCGAAGGCGGCCUUCUGGACUGACACUGACACUGAGGUGCGAAAGCGUGGGUAGCAAACAGGAUUAGAUACCCUUGUAGUC